CCAUCUCAUUUUCCACCACAAAUGCAACUCGAAAGUUGUGACUUGUGAGAAGACAUUAUCUUAAGCUCUAUGCAUGCUCCUCAAUUACAAGACAUCAUCAUGCUUUGCCAAAACCUCAUAAUGCCACUCGAAAGUUGGGCUCACGAUAGAUUUGAUUUAAUUGAAUCAAGCUUUCACCUUUUUUAUUUAUAGAUCAAUCAUGAGAAUACGACUAUAUAAUAGCUUUUCUCUUUCCCUCUUUUCUGACCAUGAAAGUAUUGAACGAGUUUACAGCUACCAUGCAGCAACCAAGUUACAUCAUACAAGAUAUACAUGGUACGUUUUAAAAGCUUAAGAUUGAGUGGCUAUAAACAUGCACCUGUUUUACACAUCAAUGUUAAUGUUAAUUCUCAAAGGACCAAGUAUUCAAGUUGAAGAACCAGUUUGCGGGCAGAAUGGACUAGCUGGCUUCUUGCAUGCCAUAGUCUUAUUCAUGAAACUUUCAAACCAGAAACUGGUUAUGCUCUUCAAUUGACUAAAAGCACGAGGCUUUGCGCAUUAUGGAUGGAAAUUUUUCUGGCAUGGUUGGUCAACACCCAUCAUUCAGGAUAAACUGUUAAGCAGAAAGUCAAGGCCUCAUCUGGAUCUUAAAAUGUUUAUUGUUUGUAUACGGGCUUAUGAAAUAUUCACAUUUACAGGCUAAACAAGACUCCCUCUGUAUGAUGUUUUAGAAAGAAAAUAAAUUGUUCCAAAUUAGUUUUCUUUUUACAAAAUCAAUGAUGCAUUUUUUUUUUACUGCAAACCAAUGAUAAGAAAUGCUAAUUCCCUUGUGAGAAUCCAAGCAUUGCAAUGGAUUACGAAUGUAAUGCUUGCUUAUUCUUUCUUCGAUUUCCAAAUCCAAACACAUCAAGAAAUGCUAAUUUCCCUGUGAGUAGUAAGUUGCAUUUUUUUGUUUUUUGGUCAGAACAGAGUAAGUGGCAUUUGUUGACAAAACAAAUUGAAAAUGCAAGGUGGACUUCGGUUUCAUUCGUUGGCCCAUUCAACAGCAUCUUGCUAACACACCCAACUUCGCCAUUCCCACAACGAAAAAUCCAGGUAGAAAAUUUAUUAACUACCACAAAAAUAAUCACAACUUUUACCAAACCAGUAGUCUAGUACUAAUAUUUAUCACAAAAAAAAAAUGAAACUUAUUUUUAAAAGGUUUAAAUACGCAUUAUAAGAAGAAAUAUUUAAUAAUAUUUUUUAUCCCCCAUAAAUAUUUGAUUUUUGUAUUUGUUUCCUAAUAAAUCUUUACUUUAAGUUUAGUCCCUAAUAAAAUAUAAAAUUCAUUAAUUCAUCAGACAUUAAAAUAAAAUUAUUGUUUUAUUAUGAACUUAAUAUAAAAUAAAAAUUUAUUAGGAAGUAAACAGAAAAAUUGAAUACUUAUUAGGAAUCAAAAACAUAUUUAAACUUUUUAAAAAUAAUUAAAUUUCAAUUCAUUUAAGGUUCAAUUGAUAAGUAAUAAAUAGAAAUUAACGUUAUACAAAUUUUAUAUCCUCUCGUGAUUAUACUUUGUUAGGUAAUACUUCUGGUGUAUACAUAAAAAAAAUUCGUCUGUUUUGAUUCGGCUAAUUUUAAAGAAAAAAAAUUAUAAAUUUCUAAAAAUCUAAAUAAAAUAAAAGGUAAUGAAUAUGAGAUUUAUUCUAUUAUGUAAUACAAAAACUACAAAUAACAACAUAUCUUAUAAGAGAAAGUAUUUUAUAUGACACUACAAAUAUUAAAUCUAGACUGUAUAAUUAUAUAUGAAGGAUUAAAAUUUAAUGUCAAAAACUCAUAUAACUUUUUAAGUGAUUAUAUAACAUUAAAUCUUGACAAUUCAUAUUUAAUUAUAUAAUUUAUAUUUAAUUCUCUCACUUUCAUAUAAAAUAUCUUUUUCUUAUAUAAUAUGCCAUCAGCUGCCAAUAAUCAGAUUUUUUUUUUUGGAAAGGGACAAAUAUUAGAUUUACAACCAACUUAAAUAAACUUCUCCCUAAGUAUUUAUAACACAAGAAAAUAAAAAUGUAAAGUUAAUGUUAGCUGUUCAAUACACUUGAACUUUAUAGAAACUCAUUACAUUUAACUUUUUCAAAAAAUACGUAAGUUAAUGUUAGCUUUUCAAUACAAUUUACCUCUCUAUUUUGCUUUCUUACAAGUAUUUGUAGAGAAUUUUAUUCAGACUAAGUUUUUACUUAUUUUAUACCGGCUAAAAAAACUUGUUUGAUGGUUUUGAUAAAUAAAUACUUUUAAUAAUUUCUGAUAUUUUUUUAAGUAUAACUUGAAGUAAUAUUUUUUUAAAUGUUAAUUUCUAUCUUCUAAUUUUUUAUAUUUUUAUCUUUAAAAUAUUCAAUAAAUUUUCUUAUUAUCUUUUUUUAAAUAAAACAAGAUUUUUUAUUUAUUUUUUUUUCACUCAUUUACAUUAUUGCUCACAAAACUGAUAAUUAUAAACAUUAGAUUUUUUUUUGAAAUAUUUAUAGGAGACAAUUUAUUUUAACUAUGAUACUAAUUAACAUAAUAUAAUACGGGUAUAAUGUUUAUUUAACUACAUGUUUUUUUUUACUUUAUUUUAAACUUGAUUAAAAAUAUUUUAAGAUAUAGGAUAAGAGUAGUAGUUGCAUACAUAAUAUAAAAAUCUAAUGACUGAAAUUAAAAAUAUAAUUAAAAUAACUUAUAUAUAAAUAAAAAUUACAAGAGUUUAAAAUUAAUCAAAAAACUAAAAGUAUAAUAUCUAAAAAUAUAUUUUUAUUCAUAAAAUUAAAUUAAAAAUUAUAUAAAAAUAUCAUAUAAAUAUGUUUCUUUAGAUUAUUUUAUAUUUUUUAACUAUUCAAAUAUACAUAUUUACCAAACAUAUAUGAUUUAAUAAGUUGACUAAAUAAGUUUGAGCUACUGACUAAUUUUUCAUCCUCUAACUAACUUUUGAGAAUUAGUUUUAUCAAACAUAAGAAAAAUCUUAUCAACUUGCAAGCUUGAAGUUUUAACACAACCUUAUAUUGAAUAGCUAAACAUUUAAUUUAUAAAAGCUUAGUUCGUGUUAAGAACCUUUUGGAAAAUAAAGAUUAUUAAAAAAUAAGCAAAUGUUGUCCAAUGAAUCAAUUAUCUAGAUGGGAAAACCAAACAAAAAAUAUACUGAUAAAAUAGUAUACCAAAAUCAUAUUUUUAAUGUAAAAUUUGAUAGAUAUAAUCUUCAUGAAAAGAACUUUCUUUCAAUUCAAAAGUAAAUUUUGAGAUAAAAUUAUUUAAUUGAAAAUUAUUAAAUAAUGUAAUAUUAAUUAAUACAUGUUACACUAGUGUCAUUUGAUUCUACCCUAUAUUAUACAUAGGAAAAGAGUAAAUCUUAAUCAUCUAAAUAAUUAUAGUCACAGUCAACAUUCGAACAUUAUUUCCACCACAUCUCAUUAUUUACGCUCCCUAUAUAUAUGAAAAUAAGCACAUUUAAUAUUUCUAAAAUGACAUAGAUGCUGAUUUCACUCAAAAGCAUCAUCGUACGGAGAACCGGGAGCAAAAAAUUAAUCAAGAUCAUAUCGCGUUCAAUAAUGCCAGAGUAAGUUCUAUUGUUCAGGGAAAUCUUUUGAUAAGUAGAUCCCUAUUUUUUAAUGAUUUCUCACGAUCCAAACAAUUGGCUGAACCGGUGAAAUCAUUUCAUAGAAGUUCAUUGAUAUUAAAUAUAUAUAUCAGAUGAUGUGAGGUUCCGUUACUUGAUCUUUAGCAGUUUGAGCUUUCAAUAUCUUUUGCAAGGCAUCGUGACAUCUGCAAGUCGAACAUUUGACCAGAAGUAGUAACUCAAGUAAGAACUUAUCAAGCAUUUCAAGUUUAGAAACGAGGAAAGGAUACGAUGGUAAUUUGCCAUACCUCCA
rnacentral:lncRNA from 1 species